rnacentral:sRNA from 1 species
AAUCUCCAUGCUGCCUCAAUGUAUGUCAUUUUGGUGGUGGUGGUGAAAUGUUUUGGUAAAAAUAGCUCACUUAAAUAUUAUCUUAGCCUUUGUAUCUAAAUAAAUUAGCUGAUAAAAUACAAGUGACUACCUGGGGUGUAUCUGGAUAAAACAGUGAUUUUUUUUUAAAUUUCUUUUUUUAUAUGCUUCAGCCUAUGUUAUUUGAGGGAACUUUUGAGUCUUGUUUAAACAACCAGAAGUUCUCUCUCUAAAGGGCAUUGUGUGGUUCUGUACAUCACAGCCCAUCACUUAACACACGCUGAGCACAGAUGUCAUCUCUUUCUUUCAAAGAAAAAUAUGACAAAGUGCCGUGGGAUUUCACAAGGGCUAAGAAUUCCCAAGUAGCAGGAACCCCCAGAAGCUGGAUCUGUUGCCAGCAUGUUUGGCUUUCAGGAAAUGGAAAACAUGCAUUUCCGCGCCCCCUCAAUGCUCUCAGCAGUUUCUGCAUUUACUUGCCUCCCCUUUCUGCACAGCUCCUGUUGAGUUACACAUUCAUUACAUUUAUGACAACUCAAAUUUAACUUAAUUUCCUUGCAAUGCUUCCUCUCUCUUAGACCUGAACUCCUGGAACACCUCCAGGAAAUGAGAGAAGAAAAGAAAAGGAUUCGAAAGAAACUUCGGGAUUUUGAAGACAACUUUUUCAGACAGAAUGGAAGAAAUGUCCAGAAGGAAGACCGCACUCCUAUGGCUGAAGAAUACAGUGAAUAUAAGCACAUAAAGGCGAAACUGAGGCUCCUGGAGGUGCUCAUCAGCAAGAGAGACACUGAUUCCAAGUCCAUGUGAGGGGCAUGGCCAAGCACAGGGGGCUGGCAGCUGCGGUGAGAGUUUACUGUCCCCAGAGAAAGUGCAGCUCUGGAAGGCAGCCUUGGGGCUGGCCCUGCAAAGCAUGAGCCCUUCUGCCUCUAGACCAUUUGGCAUCGGCUCCUGUUUCCAUUGCCUGCCUUAGAAACUGGCUGGAAGAAGACAAUGUGACCUGACUUAGGCAUUCUGUAAUUGGAAAGUCAAGAUUGCAGUAUGUGCACAUGCGCACGCGCGUGCACGCACACACACACACACAGUAGUGGAGCUUUCCUAACACUAGCAGAGAUUAAUCACUACAUUAGACAACACUCAUCUACAGAGAAUAUACACUGUUCUUCCCUGGAUAACUGAGAAACAGGAGACCAUUCUCUGUCUAACUGUGAUAAAAACAAGCUCAGGACUUUAUUCUAUAGAGCAAACUUGCUGUGGAGGGCCAUGCUCUCCUUGGACCCAGUUAACUGCAAACGUGCAUUGGAGCCCUAUUUGCUGCCGCUGCCAUUCUAGUGACCUUUCCACAGAGCUGCGCCUUCCUCACGUGUGUGAAAGGUUUUCCCCUUCAGCCCUCAGGUAGAUGGAAGCUGCAUCUGCCCACGAUGGCAGUGCAGUCAUCAUCUUCAGGAUGUUUCUUCGGGACUUCCUCAGCUGACAAGGAAUUUUGGUCCCUGCCUAGGACCGGGUCAUCUGCAGAGGACAGAGAGAUGGUAAGCAGCUGUAUGAAUGCUGAUUUUAAAACCAGGUCAUGGGAGAAGAGCCUGGAGAUUCUUUCCUGAACACUGACUGCACUUACCAGUCUGAUUUUAUCGUCAAACACCAAGCCAGGCCAGCAUGCUCAUGGCAAUCUGUUUGGGGCUGUUUUGUUGUGGCACUAGCCAAACAUAAAGGGGCUUAAGUCAGCCUGCAUACAGAGGAUCGGGGAGAGAAGGGGCCUGUGUUCUCAGCCUCCUGAGUACUUACCAGAGUUAAAUUUUUUUAAAAAAAAUCUGCACUAAAAUCCCCAAACUGACAGGUAAAUGUAGCCCUCAGAGCUCAGCCCAAGGCAGAAUCUAAAUCACACUAUUUUCGAGAUCAUGUAUAAAAAGAAAAAAAAGAAGUCAUGCUGUGUGGCCAAUUAUAAUUUUUUUCAAAGACUUUGUCACAAAACUGUCUAUAUUAGACAUUUUGGAGGGACCAGGAAAGGUAAGACACCAAAUCCUCCAUCUCUUCAGUGUGCCUGAUGUCACCUCAUGAUUUGCUGUUACUUUUUUAACUCCUGCGCCAAGGACAGUGGGUUCUGGGUCCACCUUUGUGCUUUGCGAGGCCGAGCCCAGGCAUCUGCUCACCUGCCAUGGCUGACCAGAGAAGGUGCUUCAGGAGCUCUGCCUUAGACGACGUGUUACAGUAUGAACACACAGCAGAGGCACCGUCGUAUGUUUUGAAAGUUGCCUUCUGAAAGGGCACAGUUUUAAGG